AAACGUAGGAGGCGAGCGUUAUCCGGAUUUACUGGGCGUAAAGCGCGUGUAGGCGGUCAUGCAAGUUGGGCGUGAAAUCUCCCGGCUCAACUGGGAGGGGUCGUCCAAAACUGUGUGACUUGAGGACGGAAGGGGGAAGUGGAAUUCCCGGUGUAGCGGUAAUAUGCGCAGAUAUCGGGAGGAACACCCGUGGCGAAGGCGGCUUCCUGGAACGCUCCUGACGCUGAGACGCGAAAGCUAGGGGAGAGAUCAGGAUUAGAUACCCUGGUAUUCCUAGCUGUAAACGAUGGAUACUAGGCGUUGGCGGUACAACCCCGUCAGCGCCAAAGCUAACGCGUCAAGUAUCCCGCCUGAGGAAUACGACCGCAAGGUUAAA
rnacentral:rRNA from 1 species